AUAAUAAUAAUAAUAAUAAAGCUCUAAAUCAAUCCCGUUCAAAAUCGUAAGUUCUUUAAAAAUGAACUUCAAUGCUGGAACCCAAUUCAAAUAUGAUUGAUUUAGUAUUCAUAAUAUCCCACAAAUUUUAAAGUUAAUAAUUUUUAAGAUUUUUAUAGAGAAAAUAGACUGAGUUUUUUCUCUAUAAUUUUUGCAUUUCAAUUUUUAAAAUAGUGAUUUAAUCCUGAUUAGUGGUUAAGAUUAUACGAGAUAUUAUUUUAUUUAGUUAGAUUUUAGUAUAUAAAUAGCAAAAUCAAUCAGUAUUUGAGUCAAUUGAAGUGUAUAAAAAAAGAUUCUUUUCAUUCAAUAAAAAUACUAUUUGCUCUUUGGAAUUUAUUUUUGCAACAUUCUCAACAUUCUCACAAUACUCUCCUGUCCAAGCUGAAACUUGCUGCAAAAUUUUGGAAGUAGUGCCCAGUUUCAGUCAAAUCAGAUUCCAGGAAAAUAGACAUAUGAAUUUGCUUAGUUCUUCAGUAAGUGGACUGAAUUUAUAUUAUUUUUGCAAAACCAAAUAACAGAAGAAAUUUAAACAAAAUAAAAAAAUAAAUAAAACAUGACUCUGAAGUUUUAAUAAUUUAUCUUUAUCUUUUAUGAGCAAUUCACCAACAUUUUAUUUAAAAUAAACAAUAAGAUGUGCAAUGUAAUCCUGGAGCCUACCAGAUGAACAUG
rnacentral:misc_RNA from 1 species